UACGUAGGGUGCAAGCGUUGUCCGGAAUUAUUGGGCGUAAAGAGCUCGUAGGCGGUUUGUCGCGUCUGCUGUGAAAACUCGGGGCUCAACUCCGAGCUUGCAGUCGAUACGGGCAGGCUAGAGUUCGGUAGGGGAGACUGGAAUUCCUGGUGUAGCGGUGAAAUGCGCAGAUAUCAGGAGGAACACCGGUGGCGAAGGCGGGUCUCUGGGCCGAUACUGACGCUGAGGAGCGAAAGCGUGGGGAGCGAACAGG
rnacentral:rRNA from 1 species